UGCAGUCGAGCGGACGUUUUUGAAGCUUGCUUCAAAAACGUUAGCGGCGGACGGGUGAGUAACACGUGGGCAACCUACCUUAUCGACUGGGAUAACUCCGGGAAACCGGGGCUAAUACCGGAUAACAUCUAGCACCUCCUGGUGCCGGAUUAAAAGAGGGCUUCUUGCUCUCACGAUGAGAUGGGCCCGCGGCGCAUUAGCUAGUUGGAGAGGUAACGGCUCCCCAAGGCGACGAUGCGUAGCCGACCUGAGAGGGUGAUCGGCCACACUGGGACUGAGACACGGCCCAGACUCCUACGGGAGGCAGCAGUAGGGAAUCUUCCGCAAUGGACGAAAGUCUGACGGAGCAACGCCGCGUGAGUGAUGAAGGGUUUCGGCUCGUAAAGCUCUGUUAUGAGGGAAGAACACGUACCGUUCGAAUAGGGCGGUACCUUGACGGUACCUCAUCAGAAAGCCACGGCUAACUACGUGCCAGCAGCCGCGGUAAUACGUAGGUGGCAAGCGUUGUCCGGAAUUAUUGGGCGUAAAGCGCGCGCAGGCGGCCUUUUAAGUCUGAUGUGAAAUCUUGCGGCUCAACCGCAAGCGGCCAUUGGAAACUGGGAGGCUUGAGUACAGAAGAGGAGAGUGGAAUUCCACGUGUAGCGGUGAAAUGCGUAGAUAUGUGGAGGAACACCAGUGGCGAAGGCGACUCUCUGGUCUGUAACUGACGCUGAGGCGCGAAAGCGUGGGGAGCAAACAGGAUUAGAUACCCUGGUAGUCCACGCCGUAAACGAUGAGUGCUAGGUGUUAGGGGUUUCGAUGCCCGUAGUGCCGAAGUUAACACAUUAAGCACUCCGCCUGGGGAGUACGGCCGCAAGGCUGAAACUCAAAGGAAUUGACGGGGGCCCGCACAAGCAGUGGAGCAUGUGGUUUAAUUCGAAGCAACGCGAAGAACCUUACCAGGUCUUGACAUCCUUUGACCACUCUGGAGACAGAGCUUCCCCUUCGGGGGCAAAGUGACAGGUGGUGCAUGGUUGUCGUCAGCUCGUGUCGGGAGAUGUUGGGUUAAGUCCC
rnacentral:rRNA from 2 species